rnacentral:rRNA from 1 species
GACGAACGCUGGCGGCGUGCUUAACACAUGCAAGUCGAACGGAAAGGCCCUGCUUGCAGGGUACUCGAGUGGCGAACGGGUGAGUAACACGUGGGUGAUCUGCCCUGCACUUCGGGAUAAGCCUGGGAAACUGGGUCUAAUACCGGAUAGGAGCCAUUUUUAGUGUGAUGGUUGGAAAGUUUUUUCGGUGUAGGAUGAGCUCGCGGCCUAUCAGCUUGUUGGUGGGGUAAUGGCCUACCAAGGCGGCGACGGGUAGCCGGCCUGGGAGGGUGGACGGCCACCAUGGGGCUGGGGUACGGCCCAGACUCCUACGGGAGGCAGCAGUGGGGAAUAUUGCACAAUGGGCGCAAGCCUGAUGCAGCGACGCCGCGUGGGGGGUGACGGCCUUCGGGUUGUAAACUCGUUUCGCUAGGGACGAAGCUUUUUGUGACGGUACCUAGAGAAGAAGCACCGGCUAACUACGUG